AGCGAACGCUGGCGGCAGGCUUAACACAUGCAAGUCGAGCGGGCAUAGCAAUAUGUCAGCGGCAGACGGGUGAGUAACGCGUGGGAACGUACCUUUUGGUUCGGAACAACUGAGGGAAACUUCAGCUAAUACCGGAUAAGCCCUUACGGGGAAAGAUUUAUCGCCGAAAGAUCGGCCCGCGUCUGAUUAGCUAGUUGGUGAGGUAAUGGCUCACCAAGGCGACGAUCAGUAGCUGGCCUGAGAGGAUGAUCAGCCACAUUGGGACUGAGACACGGCCCAAACUCCUACGGGAGGCAGCAGUGGGGAAUAUUGGACAAUGGGCGCAAGCCUGAUCCAGCCAUGCCGCGUGAGUGAUGAAGGCCCUAGGGUUGUAAAGCUCUUUUGUGCGGGAAGAUAAUGACGGUACCGCAAGAAUAAGCCCCGGCUAACUUCGUG
rnacentral:rRNA from 1 species